UACGUAGGUGGCAAGCGUUGUCCGGAUUCAUUGGGCGUAAAGCGCGCGUAGGCGGCUUCGCAAGUCGGCCGUGAAAUCUCCGGGCUCAACUCGGAGGGGUCGGGCGAGACUGCGAGGCUCGAGGUGGGCAGAGGGCAGUGGAAUUCCGGGUGUAGUGGUGGAAUGCGUAGAGAUCCGGAGGAACACCAGUGGCGAAGGCGGCUGCCUGGGCCUGGCCUGACGCUGAGGCGCGAAAGCGUGGGGAGCGAACCGG
rnacentral:rRNA from 1 species